rnacentral:rRNA from 1 species
AGUGAACGCUGGCGGUAGGCCUAACACAUGCAAGUCGAACGGCAGCACAGUAAGAGCUUGCUCUUACGGGUGGCGAGUGGCGGACGGGUGAGGAAUACAUCGGAAUCUACUUUUUCGUGGGGGAUAACGUAGGGAAACUUACGCUAAUACCGCAUACGACCUACGGGUGAAAGCAGGGGAUCUUCGGACCUUGCGCGAUUGAAUGAGCCGAUGUCGGAUUAGCUAGUUGGCGGGGUAAAGGCCCACCAAGGCGACGAUCCGUAGCUGGUCUGAGAGGAUGAUCAGCCACACUGGAACUGAGACACGGUCCAGACUCCGACGGGAGGCAGCAGUGGGGGAUAUUGGACAAUGGGCGCAAGCCUGAUCCAGCCAUACCGCGUGGGUGAAGAAGGCCUUCGGGUUGUAAAGCCCUUUUGUUGGGAAAGAAAAGCAGCAGGUUAAUACCCCGCGGUUCUGACGGUACCCAAAGAAUAAGCACCGGCUAACUUCGUG